GGAGGUUUAGCUCAGUUGGGAGAGCAUCUGCCUUACAAGCAGAGGGUCAGCGGUUCGAGCCCGUUAACCUCCACCA
rnacentral:tRNA from 128 species